rnacentral:tRNA from 1 species
GGGCAUAGUUUAGUGGUAGAACAUCAGCUUCCCAAGCUGAAUAUGGGAGUUCGAUUCUCCUUGCC